UACGAAGGGGGCUAGCGUUGCUCGGAAUCACUGGGCGUAAAGCGCACGUAGGCGGAUCGUUAAGUCGGAGGUGAAAUCCUGGAGCUCAACUCCAGAACUGCCUUCGAUACUGGCGAUCUUGGAGUCCGGGAGAGGGGAGUGGAACUCCGAGUGUAGAGGUGAAAUUCGUAGAUAUUCGGAAGAACACCAGUGGCGAAGGCGGCUCACUGGCCCGGUACUGACGCUGAGGUGCGAAAGCGUGGGGAGCAAACAGG
rnacentral:rRNA from 1 species